CGGGGCGCCGUGGGGACGGAUCCGCAAAGCUGGCAGGACUCGGCAGUGGGGAUGUUUGGUCUGAGGACGAGCUGAGGAGGGAAGCAGUUUGUAAACGAGUGGAAUUAGAGUGAGGAAAUUCUGCAACGCGAAGCUGGGAGACUGCAUCGACAGAAGGGAGGCUUGGAACAUCCGUGUGCCAACAAGAUGAAGUAAAGCUAAGAGUAAUGGGAUUUGGUGAUGCAAAUAGAAGGCAGUGGUGAUCUCUGCAAGUAGAGCUCCCCGGCUUGGCAGCGAAUUAGGGGUCGGAGCGGUAGGCAGCAGGAUGGCGGCAUGCUGCUGCUGUGAGGGGGCUCAGAAAGUACGUGAGUGAAAAGGCCGUCCUCUGGAACUGCUACGGGAGGGCCUCCGCUGGCUGUGCAAAAUACUGAUGUCAGAUUGCAUGGCUGCCUGAGACCGUAUCCUUAUCUGCGGCCCAACUGAUUGCCCACACUCAGAUAAACGGUUCUGAACAGACGCAGAAUAGGGCUGUGGAUGUUAAGAGGAAUGAAGAGUCUGCGUGCUGGGAGACACAACAGUUAGAAGUUGUGUGUUUUUUAUGUAUGGGAGGAAAGGAACUUGCAAGCUCGAGGUUAGCAGAAGCAAGCUAAAAAAAAGUGAGCACAGUUUACUGGAAAUGGCAAGAAAAGUUCUCACUGUUGUUCUGUAAAUGCUCUGGAGAGGUUUCAAAUGGGCAGGAAAACUGAAUUGCUUUUAAAAUUAAGUUUGAAAAAAUCAGAAAAGAUGAGUGUGUGGUUCUGCAGAGCAGUGGGGAGUUUGGCUCAGGAAUGCUGGAUGUCCCAUCUGUUAGUUCAGUGCUCUCGUGACCCGGCAAAAUGGACUAUGAGACGGAUGAGUACUUCUGCAGUGGGCCCAUUUUGGUACGGCUGUUGUCGUCAUGCUUUCCUUUUCCAUUAUUCAAGUUCUUUUUCUUUGGGACCCUUACCAGAAGCAGAGUAGUUCAAUUAUAUUCACUACCAGAUGCCUCUCGUGUGUAUGUUCGGCAGUACGCUAACAGAAAGGAAGCUGUGUUCUUUACCUUGCUCACUUCACCGUGUGAAGUCUCUGUACAUUUCCACUCUUAUAUAUGGAAUAACUGUCGAGGUGUACUCACACAGCUCUGCAGGACUUUCUGUCCCCGGGUGUGCUAUUCGUAGAAGUCCUCGUGGAACAAUUUUUAGGAAAAUAUUUAAAUGAAAAACUUGAAGUCAUCUGGGGCAAGGCAAUAUUGCAUUCAUGAAUGUAUGUAUAAUCAGCUCCCUUGGGAUGUUACCUGAGACUUAUAUCUAUUUUCUGCUUUUAUUUUUAGAGUCUGUGGUUUUCACGUACCACGCUUAGUGCAGCACCAACAGAUUAACAGAAGAACCUUGAAAUUGCAGAAUGUUGCUCCUCAGACCAAGGCUGCCAUGGUCCAGGCAGACAUUUUAGAUUCUUACCUGGCACCAUUGCUAUCUGGGGUAUCUCCACAACACAGGAAAUUAAACGAUCAUUGCUCAGCCAUCGUUUUUCAUUUUAUCUGCUAGUCCACAACUGACCCAGGUUAUUCAGAGAGAAGAAAAAAAUGUUUUAUGGAGGUAGCAUCCCAUUCAGUGGUCAGUAGAAAACUAAGUGAGCGAAUCGCUCUCUUCAUCAACGCAUGCGUUAAGUGCUUCCAGUGGCUCUUCUUCUAGUUGCUGAAACCGAGUAGUGAAUGGAUUAUAGGGAUUAAACUUCUUUCAUUCCCCUAGAGGUGAGCAAGUCAUGUGAAAAUGAAAGGCUUAUUUGGUAGAAGACAGUAUGAAAGACUGGGAAUACAAAAAUAUAUAUGUAUUAUCUCUAAAUGGCUUCUUGCACACUUUGUCUAUAAUAGAUGGUAGUAUGUGAGCUGCAGACAGAAACUUGAGGCUCGCAGGGCAGAAAUGUGACUGUGAACUGAAUCUACGAGUAUGGAAUGAAACAUGCUUGGUCAUUAUUGAAACUGGAUUUCUGAAACAUUUUUCUUUCAUCAUAAAUCUGAUAUUUCUGAAGAAAAACAUACCUGUUCUUAGCAUAUGCUUUCUCUUUUUCUUCUCUUGACCUAUUUGAAUUAGGAGGAAGUUGCCUUUCCCACUGUAGUGCUGGGAACACAGUAUAAGGGCUACAGCAAAGGAAUAUUUUCUGUCUUGAAGUGCUCAGGUCAUCCUGCAAGGCAUUCCGCUGCAAAAGGAGUCACUUUCACCGGUGUCACCAGUUACUGUCGUCCUCUUAUGCUGAUGUUUCCAGAGGGGUGGCGUUUCAUACCCCCUGAAUAGGUGGCCUUCUACAUGGGAGCGUUAUUCUGGUGUCUUUUGUCUCUUAUGUAGUUUACUUCCUCAUGUUCCGAGAAUGAAAAACAGUCAAAGGAGAGGAAACGAUAGACUAGCUCCCUUAGAAGAGCCUCUCCUAGGAAAAAAUAGCUCAGAACCCCUAAAAUGAUCAUACAGUUGGUAGAAAAGCUGCUGGAUGUUGUCGUUAUAGCAGCAUCUACAGGAAUAGAAAUAGCAAGAAGAGAAGAGGAAGGCUGGCAUUCCCUCGCUCUCUCUCCAACUUGUGAAAAUUUUAGGAAGGAAAUUUACAUAUUUUGGAGCUACAUUUUCUGCAGUGCCUUCUUAUGCAGAAGGAAAGUUAAUCAAGCUAUCUUAUUAGAUAAAAGUAUUUUCUGUACUUGUUUCAGAGAGGUGGUGGUCGUUUCUGUGGAAGGGGUUCAAAUGAUUAGCACCAUUCUUAACUGUUGUAUUCAGGGAGAUGACAGCUUGAUUUAAACUAUGAAGGUGUGAUGAGUUUUGCUCUCCCACCGCCAUGCACAAAGAAGCACUCAGAGAAGACAGACUUAACUGGUUUGAGCCAGGCAGCGGUCUGCUACCAUAAAUUCCCCAACAUUGUAUUGCCCUUUGAUGCUUCAGUUACAAUCCCUGAAUGGAAGACUGGAGCAUGUGGUUGUCUUUUUGGCAUCUGAAGCUGAGGCUGCCGAGUUGCCUGCCUGGGACAUUAGUGAGACUAUCUGCCUCUUAAGGAUACGCAACAGAUUUUCUCUUAGCUCCUGUCCCUACUAGUGCUCUUCUUAGCUCCUGUCCCUACUAGUGCUCUACUUAACUCUGUGCCAAGACACUGGCAGCGGUCAAUACAGAAAAACUUCUGGAAGUACCAGGUUGUGGCAGGGCACCAGGACCAUCCAGCAUGUGAAUGUUUGAGGAGGCGCUGGAGGAACAAGGACUUCCCUAAAGGAUGUGACAGCAAAGCCACUCCACUGGAAUAUGGAAGAAGGGAAGCAGUUAUGUGGAAGAGAUGAAGUGCCGUGUGAUUCCUGUCCCACGGAUAGGAUCCAGCUGGUGCUAGACAAAGUCUGUCAGUGACAGCACUUGGAUUGGAUGGAGGUGGGUGGAGGGCUUGGGCACAGUUUCCCACUCAGUACACUCCACAAAAGGAUUCAGUGAAAGAGGGAUGAGUGUGUAAUGCAGGGUGGUGGGUGAAAAGAGGUCAUAGAUGAGGAGAAAAAGGUUUCUUAUCAAUUGAAGUCCAUCAUCUGGGUCUGAAAGUGACUUCAUCGUGCAAGGUGACACUGCAUGCUGGCAGUGGCAUGAGGGACACGCAUUCCUGAACUUUGUUCAUUUUAUAUGGACAAAUAUCUGUAUCCCUUAUCUACAGUUACGAAACUAGAUAGCAGAGACAUCAAGGAUUAAACAAUGAGAACACAGUAUUUUGUUUCUACAGAUGAUAUUUUCAGCUCAAAAUCAAUACAUUUCAAUGGGCUGUAGGAUUGAGAAAGGUUAAUCUUCUCUCGCUGCAGCCCGUACUGUGUCUCUUCACUGAAGACGUUCUGUGCUUGGAUUUCUGCAGCAUGCACGACUGUUAGGGUUGUUUUGAAGAAAUACUUGCUUGAUUUUCAGUACUGCUGGUGAUUGAAAAAACAAACCCCCAAAACCUUCAUGUGUAUGUUUUACUCAAAGUUUUUCCCGUUUUGCAUGAGGAGUGGAUCUGGAGCCUCGCUGUAAUAAUCUCAUUGCAGUAAUUUAUGAGAACUCUGAACAGGGAAUGGCAAAAAAAUAAAAAAUAAAAAGGAAUUAUGAGGUUUGACAAGAGACAGCAGAGCUCACUUGCUAAUUCAGGGUGGGGAGAAGUCAAAAAUCCCUGUAUAAAGUACUAGAAGGUUAUAGCGCUGUUAAUGUUGUUUCCUAUUCUAUUUAAGAGAAAUGGAGUGGACCUAUUCAUAAAGAUGAGUGUACACCUGUGUGACGUGAAAAUUACAAGCUGUAGACUUGACUAGUUAAUAUGCAAACAACUGUCUUGCUUUCAUUUCUGGUUAGCGUCCAUUGCUGCCUUUAUCUGGCAUGAUUAGUUGUUGAGAAAUACAGGACAUUAAUCCCUAAAGCAUGAAGGUGUGCAGGUGAUGCCUCCGUUUCCUUUAAGAAACAAGAAGAGAUGUGCAAUUGUGUCAUUAGCACAGUGUGGUAAUCUAAGAAGCCUCUAUGAUUUAGUUUGAAAGAUCUGUGUUUCAGGCUUGUGUUUACAGGUUCCUGUCCCUCUAAUAGAAACUGCAGUCAAAGGUGUGCGAAUGCAGGGUUUGAGAAACAUUCAGAGCAGGCAUCGUGCCUGUUUGCUGGUACAGGUGCUGUCAGGAAGGGGAGGGAAUACUGAGUUUCUGAGUUCCUUUUGCGUGAGCCCUGUAAAAGGGAUGGGGGAGGUGCCUUAGAAAAGCCUCAGGAUUGGGAAUCCCAAGCAAGAUAGCUUGCUUCAACCUGGACCUGGGAUCCAUAUACAAAGUGUCCUGAGAGAUUUAUUGACCUGUCCAUCUGGUUCAUGUAAAGAGCUUUUCACUUAACCAGGCUGGUCAAAACCCAUUCUUAUAUACUCUUCUGCAUUAUACGCUGAGGCAGGGCGUCUAAUUUGGAGCUUUGGAUUUGGGCAAAGAAACAGUGCAGCGCUCAGCAGUGCAACAGCCGGGCCCCAUACUGAAUCUGGCCUCACUGCAGUGUGUGUGAGUAAUGGUAACAGAGUCAUAAGAACAGAAUGACUGUACGGGGGAGAGAGCUGCACUUGACUUGCUAGGGUGAAAAACAUAUUUGUAAAGGGAUUCAAUUAGUGCUGGGUACAAGAAUGCCACUUAGUGAAACAAGCGACUGUACCUCUUUUUCAGUGGCAGAGAAAAGUGACACAUCCUGGAUUACCAGCAGUCCCCGUUCCUAUUCUCUGUGUCCCUGCAGAGCUGAUGGCACCGCAGGCUGGUUGGGCCACCUUCCAUGCGAUGGAGCAACGUAGCUAUGCUGUAGGUUGCCUUAUGCUUGCAACACUGCAACCCCGAGGAAGUCUGCAUCUGCAGAGAUCUGCCUUCAUGCCUGGACUGAUAAGCGACGCUGGGGAAGCGUCUUGGCCAGAUGCUGCUGCAGUAUCCCGCCUCCUCAUCGCAUCGCCCUCUGGAAGACAGAAGUGACGAUCAGCAGCGUGGUGUUGUCCUGCAGGCAGCUGAGGAACCACUUUGACAGCAAGCAGGAGAACAACUAUGCAGUGUAAUCACAGCCUGUCUGUGCUCUUUCUAACAAAGUACAGGAGCACCCUAUUCCCAGCGAGGGGAUGCUGUAACCUCCCCCUGCUGACCUGUAUUCUUCUCCGUUACUGUAACCAAGCUGUUUCUUUCCCACGGCCACGCGUUCCUGCAGAUAUACCAAGGGUUCCCAUGCAGAUAGGUUUACAAAUUCAGGAAGGGCUUGGACAGAGCAAAAGGAGAAUGAAGUAAUUCCCAAAUAUUUGCACUGUGGCUGAUGAAAUUAGCAGGAGAGCUGAGUGGGUGUAUAGGGGUCUGCUGGGGGACGGAUGGAAGGAAACCUGGGGACAAACUGUCUCCUGUUCAACGUGCUCUGAGUGCUGUGUGAUAAAGGUGAAUCACCCAGCUUAGCUGCAGGUGAGCCAGCAGGACAGUGGCUGGGGCCGGGUCCCACUGCAGCCUGUGUGGGGGCUGUGUGCUGGGUCCGGUGGGCUUUGAAUCCCACCACAAAGACAGUGGCUGUCGACAAGGUCACGAACGCAGAGCUUCGCCUUCUGUUGAUUAUGUGGUUGUCAGUGGAAGAAUUACUGUGUAUCUAUGGGAAAUGUUAAAAAACAACAACGCCUUUUUUUCUUGAAUAAAUCUGUGAAACGAACCAA
ensembl:lncRNA